rnacentral:ncRNA from 1 species
AAAGAAACGAUGACAGAGACUAGUAAUUUACAAUUUAUCCAAUCAGGGAAAAAGUGCCGUAGACUGAAAGCACUUUAUGGAAUUGUGUAAAUGAAUUCACCUCUCGAGUUGAUACUUGGACCGUAUUAGAGAUUUUCGUAGGAAAGGUUUUCGAACUUAGAGCACUUCUAUAAAAACUCUAAAACGUAAAGGUGUUCCGGUUUUUACCGUUAUUCAAAUGAAGUGAGCAGUGCGAAUCAGUUUAUGCACGGCUAACAAGGGUGGUAACGCGAAUUCAACUCGUCCCUUUU